rnacentral:lncRNA from 1 species
GAGCCCAUGGGCAAGCAGGGCCGCGUGCUCCACCCAGAGCAGCACCGUGUGGUGAGCGUGCGGGAGUGUGCCCGCUCCCAGGGCUUCCCUGACACCUACCGGCUCUUCGGCAACAUCCUGGACAAGCACCGGCAGCUAAAAUAAAGGAGGAGGAAGCUGCUAAGGACUAGUUCUGCCCUCCCGUCACCCCUGUUUCUGGCACCAGGAAUCCCCAACAUGCACUGAUGUUGUGUUUUUAACAUGUCAAUCUGUCCGUUCACAUGUGUGGUACAUGGUGUUUGUGGCCUUGGCUGACAUGAAGCUGUUGUGUGAGGUUCGCUUAUCAACUAAUGAUUUAGUGAUCAAAUUGUGCAGUACUUUGUGCAUUCUGGAUUUUAAAAGUUUUUUAUUAUGCAUUAUAUCAAAUCUACCACUGUAUGAGUGGAAAUUAAGACUUUAUGUAGUUUUUAUAUGUUGUAAUAUUUCUUCAAAUAAAUCUCUCCUAUAAAC